GACGAACGCUGGCGGCGUGCUUAACACAUGCCAGUCGAACGGAAAGGCCCUGCUUUUGUGGGGUGCUCGAGUGGCGAACGGGUGAGUAACACGUGAGUAACCUGCCCUUGACUUUGGGAUAACUUCAGGAAACUGGGGCUAAUACCGGAUAGGAGCUCCUGCUGCAUGGUGGGGGUUGGAAAGUUUCGGCGGUUGGGGAUAGACUCGCGGCUUAUCAGCUUGUUGGUGGGGUAGUGGCUUACCAAGGCUUUGACGGGUAGCCGGCCUGCGAGGGUGACCGGACCAAUUGGGACUGAGCUAAGGCACAGACUCCUCCGGGAGGGAGCAGAGGGGAAUAUUGCAUAAUGCGCGGAAGCCUACUGCAGUCACGCCGCGUGCGGGAUGACGGCAUUGGGGUUGUAAACCGAUUUCGCCUGUGACGAAGAGUGAGUGACGGUAAUGGGUAAAGAAGCACCGGCUAACUACGUG
rnacentral:rRNA from 1 species